UUUUUGGCUUGUUCUGAAAGAUCCCACGCAGAGAGACCCUUACUCAAGUCUUGGGAAAUCGCGGACCCCAGACACAGAGAGACCA
rnacentral:pre_miRNA from 14 species